rnacentral:rRNA from 1 species
GUCUAAGGUCAUGCCACCUUGAACAUGCCCGAUCUCGUCUGAUUUCAGAAGAUAAUUAGGGUCGGACCUGGUUAGUACUUGGAUGGGAGACCACCUAGGAGUACCAGGUACUGUAGGCU